GGAGGGUUGGCAGAGCGGUCAAAUGCGCGGGUCUUGAAAACCCGAGGGCGAAAGUCCUACGCAGGUUCGAAUGCUGUGCCCUCCG
rfam:Microgenomates bacterium GW2011_GWC1_39_7 TT57_C0035, whole genome shotgun sequence.